UACGUAGGGGGCUAGCGUUGUCCGGAUUUAUUGGGCGUAAAGAGCGUGUAGGCGGCCUGGUAGGUCUGCUGUGAAAACUCGAGGCUCAACCUCGAGACGGCGGCGGAAACCAUCUGGCUAGAGUCCGGAAGAGGAGAGUGGAAUUCCUGGUGUAGCGGUGAAAUGCGCAGAUAUCAGGAAGAACACCCGUGGCGAAGGCGGCUCUCUGGGACGGUACUGACGCUGAGACGCGAAAGCGUGGGGAGCGAACAGG
rnacentral:rRNA from 1 species